AGCUGCCAGCGUCUUAGUUAUUUUGAUUGCCUGCGACUACUCUUAAACUCCUUCCACCGUUAAGAUCCGAGUUUGGGAGAAGCUCUCUCUCUAGUUCUCUAUCUGUCCUUUAUCUUUUCAGAAGAAGAAGCGAUCUUUACCUUCUUCGUUCCCGUCGCGAUCAACUCGUUUGCAGUCUUCAGAUUAAUGUCUACAUCUGUAUGGUUUCGGACCAGUUCAAUGGAUCAGGCGGAACUGUCUACGGAGCAGGUAUUGCAAAGGGAUUCCAUGGGAGACUUACAUGACAACUAAGCUGAUGUCAGCGACAGGUCUCCAGCUCUUAAGGCGUUACGAUAAGAAACCUGAAAGUGCAAGGGCACAGUUGCUGGAUGAAGAUGGUCCAGCUUAUGUUCAGCUGUUUGUUACCAUCUUACGUGAUAUAUUCAAGGAAGACACUGUGGAAUAUGUGUUGGCUUUGGUUUGUGAAAUGCUCUCAGACUCUUCCUCAUAGGAUCCCGCUCGGUGAAGGAGUUAUGCUUGCUAGCUUCAAAGUUUUUUAUGAUCCCGUUAGAAACUAUGAGAUGUUGAUAGCUGAUUUGGAGGGAGCGCAAUUGGAAGAGUGGCGACGGUUGAUUCUUGGUGGAUUAUUCUUCUCAGAGCUUACACCAUAUCCAUGGGAGAGUCUUCUCUUGCUGACGUGCCUGAAUCCCAGAAGGGUAUACGGUUGAUACUUUAGCCUCUGUCUGUCUACGCUGAUGGUAGAUAGGGCACUGAGAUUUAUCAGAGACAUGCCAAUAGAAUCCACUGCAUCCAUCUGGAAAGCUCUGCUUAAUGCUUGUAGAAUGCACAAGAAUGUGGACUUGAGAGCUUAUGCAGCCGAGCGUGUGUUUGAACUCGACCCUGAUGACCCUGGUCCCCACUAUUUGAUACCUUUCCCACUCUCUUAUGCGCUGAUAGUUGCUGCUGAAAAUAUGCUACCCCAAAAACACUCAGAUGGAAUUACCAAAAUGGAGGGUCAUGGCUAGGUAAAAAUUUAAUAAAUCUCCUUCACAUUUCUUCUGAUUACACAGGCUGACAUGACCUUCAUUGGUACACUGUACAACUGGCGUGAAUACUAUGAUGGAACGGUAGGCAGAUACGUGGGGAAACAAGCACGUAAAUGCCAGACCUGGUCAAUCGCAAACAAUCGGAGAGCACUUCAGAAGAUCUCAACCACAAGAAUCUUCACAAACAGGGUGGAUUUCUGAGCAUCUGACAUUGCACAACUGCUUCAAAUGAUUCCUACGUGCACAUAAGGAAAUGUGGACACUCCAACUUUUUGUGUGCAGCAUGAUUGCAACAAUAAGUUACAUCAUAUAUGGCUAGCUCUACCUACAGGCUACAGCUUUGCAAAUGAUUACAUCAUCACCAGUGACAAAUUUCUUUUUGAGUGUAAUAGAUGCCAUGUCUAAGAUUUUCUCAAACCGAGCACCAUCCAUGCCUUAACCAUACCAAAAAUAUAUUGCUUGAUAAGUGAUUUUCUGGAUUCUUUUU